UACGUAGGGACCGAGCGUUGUCCGGAAUCAUUGGGCGUAAAGAGCGUGUAGGCGGCCACUUAAGUCCUGCGUGAAAUCUUGCGGCUCAACCGCAAGCGGUCGUGGGAAACUGGGUGGCUAGAGUGCGGGAGAGGAGAGUGGAAUUCCUGGUGUAGCGGUGAAAUGCGCAGAUAUCAGGAAGAACACCCGUGGCUAAGGCGGCUCUCUAGUACGGUACUGACGCUGAGACGCGAAAGCGUGGGGGAGCGAACAGG
rnacentral:rRNA from 1 species